rnacentral:rRNA from 1 species
UACAGAGGGGGCAAGCGUUGUUCGGAAUUACUGGGCGUAAAGGGCGCGUAGGUGGCCUUCUAAGUUGAACGUGAAAUCCCUGGGCUCAACCCAGGAACUGCGUCCAAGACUGGGAGGCUUGAAUCCGGGAGAGGGAUGCGGAAUUCCAGGUGUAGCGGUGAAAUGCGUAGAUAUCGGGAGGAACACCAGUGGCGAAGGCGGCUUCCUGGCCUGUUCUUGACGCUGAGGCGCGAAAGCUAGGGGAGCAAACGGG